CUGUGGGUUACAGUGAUUCAAAGAGAAAGAUGACGGUUCUGUUUAUAUAUUCAAGGUGAUCAGUGGAGAUAUCAUUGGAGGAGGCUGGAAAUAAAGUAGGUUUCAAAGGAUGAAGGGAACUCUGGAAGAUGUGGAGGAAAUCAGCAGAUGCAGUUUUCCCAGCCACUGGGGGUUCCCUCCCAAUGUGUGCAGAGACUACUCUAUCUGCUCCAAGCGUACUGGUUGUUCUGAUUCUUGAAUUAAAUCCACAUGAAGCUGGCACAGGGGACACUGCGUAAGUGAGCAGGGCUGCCAGUAACGUAGUCACUGCUCACCUAUGAGCUCCAGAACCUAUGCACUUUCUUUUCUCUAGACAUUGUAGUUCUAAAUAAACAAGGACUGUAUCAUGACUGAUUACGACCAAAAUGUCAUGUUCAUUGCAUGAAGAAUACCCUAUGCCUGGUGGGCUGACACACCUUUCACAUCUCCAAACAAUGCAAAAGGAAGAGUUUAGGCUUUGGAAUCAAACUGACUGACUGUAUGAUGAUAAACAGAUUACUUAACCUCUCUGAGCCUCCUAGAGGAACUCAUCUAAAAAUAUUCCCACCCUAUUUCUUGUGUGGAUUAAACAAGAUACUGAAUGGAAAACACAUAAAGAUAAUAAGUUAAGCAAACAGGCAAGAAAAUCAGUUUCCUCCCUCCCUUGUUCUUCUGUGGAAAAUACUUGUUAAGGAUUUAAGAUUAGAUCAUAUUUUCUUCUGCUAACAUGUCGCCACAUGUGAAAUCUUCACGACUCUUUAAACCAGACUUAGUCACAACUGGUCAAGGGAGAAAGUUUUCUUCAGCCACCAGAGCACAAAGAAGCCUGUUGGAACAAGAAUCCAUGUCCUCUGAAGUCAACAUGUCCUGAUAAUGGGGUUAAAUGAAUCCAGCCUUUUAAAAGUCAUGAAAAAAUGAAAUUGACCAGUAAGCUAUUGCAGGCACAGAGACGACUGUUAAAACCUCACAUACCCUUAAAAGACAGAACAACAUUACGGAUGACACAGGUUAAGCAAAGAAAGGAUGGAAGCCGCCUCUUGAUUAGAGGUUCAAAUCAAAUGAAGGAGGAACACAUCAAUUACCUUUGCUUUUGAGCAGAAGGAUGGACUGGUCUCGAAAGCCAUGCUUCCAACUAAACUUUUGCCUCCUUCAGUCCCUUCCCUGGAGGAUAAUUUAAAGAAUCUCUGCUUUCUCACCAAAGGCAACCUGCACUGGAAAAAUCCUCUGCAGACAUAAUUACAUAUAUUAAAAAAUUGGUACCUA